rnacentral:tRNA from 2 species
CGCGAGGUAGAGCAGUUUGGUAGCUCGUUGGGCUCAUAACCCAAAGGCCGCAGGUUCAAAUCCUGCCCUCGCAA